rnacentral:rRNA from 1 species
GUGGGGAAUUUUGCGCAAUGGGGGAAACCCUGACGCAGCAACGCCGCGUGAGUGAUGAAGGCCCUUGGGUCGUAAAGCUCUGACAGAGGGAAAGAAAUGCAGGGGAGCUAAUAUCUCCUUUGCUUGACGGUACCCUCAAAGGAAGCACCGGCUAACUCCGUGCCAGCAGCCGCGGUAAUACGGGGGGUGCAAGCGUUGUUCGGAUUUAUUGGGCGUAAAGCGCGUGUAGGCGGUUUUAUAAGUCUGAUGUGAAAGCCCUGGGCUCAACCCGGGAAGUGCAUUGGAUACUGUAAGACUUGAAUACGGGAGAGGGUAGUGGAAUUCCUAGUGUAGGAGUGAAAUCCGUAGAUAUUAGGAGGAACACCGGUGGCGAAGGCGGCUGCCUGGACCGAUAUUGACGCUGAGACGCGAAAGCGUGGGUAGCAAACAGGAUUAGAUACCCGGGUAGUCC